rnacentral:rRNA from 1 species
GACGAACGCUGGCGGCGUGCUUAACACAUGCAAGUCGAACGGAAAGGCCCUGCUUUUGUGGGGUGCUCGAGUGGCGAACGGGUGAGUAACACGUGAGUAACCUGCCCUUGACUUUGGGAUAACUUCAGGAAACUGGGGCUAAUACCGGAUAGGAGCUCCUGCUGCAUGGUGGGGGUUGGAAAGUUUCGGCGGUUGGGGAUGGACUCGCGGCUUAUCAGCUUGUUGGUGGGGUAGUGGCUUACCAAGGCUUUAACGGGUAGCCGGCCUGAGAGGGUGACCGGCCACAUGGGGACUGAGAUACGGCCCAGACUCCUACGGGAGGCAGCAGUGGGGAAUAUUGCACAAUGGGCGGAAGCCUGAUGCAGCAACGCCGCGUGCGGGAUGACGGCCUUCGGGUUGUAAACCGCUUUCGCCUGUGACGAAGCGUGAGUGACGGUAAUGGGUAAAGAAGCACCGGCUAACUACGUG